rnacentral:rRNA from 1 species
UACGAAGGGGGCGAGCGUUGUUCGGAUUUACUGGGCGUAAAGGGCGCGCAGGCGGCUCAUUUUGUCAGGCGUGAAAGCCCCGGGCUUAACCUGGGAACUGCGUUUGAUACGGAUGGGCUAGAGUUCGGGAGAGGAGAGUGGAAUUCCCAGUGUAGAGGUGAAAUUCGUAGAUAUUGGGAAGAACACCGGUGGCGAAGGCGGCUCACUGGCUCGUAACUGACGCUCAUGCACGAAAGCGUGGGGAGCAAACAGG